CGCCUUCAGCAGUGCGCAAGCGUAGCGCACCGGGAGUGGACAUUUUGGUCUUUGUCCGCGGGUCAGCACGGCUUCUGGGUCCACGUGGCGCGAAAGUAGGAGCCUGUCUCCUUUGCAUCUCUGGAAAGGACUUCUUCCUCAUCCUUCAGUAGCUCCAGAGGCCCCUGGGCUUGUCCUGAAACCUAGGAUGGUACUUUUGCCCUGGCAUUAACAUUUUAAUGUUGUGCCAUUUUCCCAAAAGCAGAUUGUCUUAAAGAGGCCAAACUAUCUGAAUCCCGCAUUCAUGGAGAAAGAAGUGGAAAGGAAGUUGUCCAGGUAAAAUCCUGAGAAGAUGAUGAGCAGAUAGAGAUACAUCAGAACUUGGAGAUAAAUUACAUCUAUCAUCAAUAAAACCCAGACUGAGGAAAGGAGCAUUGUAUAUAAGGCAAUUGUAAAAUAAUCAUUCUGCUCACAGCCCUUAUUUUAUUUUUGUGCUGGUCCUGGGGCUUGAACUCAGGGCCUGAGUGCUGUCUCUGAACUUUUUUGCUCAAGACUAGCACUCUGCCACUUGAAUUGCAGCCCAUUUGUGGGUGUUGUUGUGUG